rnacentral:rRNA from 1 species
ACUUGGAAACUAAACCUUGAUUAGUAGGAGAUAUAUUUCUGAAAAUUAAAAAGUUUGGCGGCUUUUAGAGUAAUCAGGGGAAUUUGUAUCGUUAUCGUAACUACGCGCUAUACCUUACUUAGCUUUAGCUUGUAUACCGCCGCCUAAGUAGUCUUAGCAGAGAAAAACUAUAAUUAGCUAUGGAAACGUCAGGUCAUGGUGCAGCAUAGCUAAGAUGAUUACAAAUUACAAUUUAUAUCUAAUUUGGACUUAAAAUUAAAAUUUUAACGAAAUAGGACUUGUAAGUAAUUACUAAGUUAGAAUAGAGU